AGUAAGACCAGUCUGAACGAGUGGACCCUAACGUGAGGUUUAAAAAAAAAGUUUUUUCAGGCGCAUGUGCAUUUCUUGUUAUUGUCCGGUUGAAAUAUUAUAGAUCAUUUAGGCUAAAAAAUAACCCUAGGAUUGAAUAUAAACAUCCUUUGACAUGUUUCUAUGAACUUUACGGAUACAACUACAAAUGUCUGAUUGUUUUGACUGAGUUUGAGCCUGUGGAUUACUGAAGAAAACGCGCUAACAAAACUGAGGUUUUUGGAUAUAAAGAGACUUCAUCGAACAAAAGGAACAUUUAUUGAGUAAAUGAAUGUCUUCUGAUUGCCACCAUAUGAAGAUCAUCAAAGUUUCCAGGCCCACCUCCCCUCCUGUGUCAUCGAUGGCCAUCCGGUGUACAGGGUGAGACGCCUCCUGAGUGUUCGACCACGGGGCAGGGGUUUCCAGUACCUGGUUAACUGGGAGCAUUAUGGGCCAGAGGAGAGGUGUUGGGUCCCUGCUAAGGACAUCCUUGACCCGGCUCUCAUUGCCAACUUUCACCGCCGGCAUCCCCAGGAGUUAUCAAUGAUCUUUAUCUCUGCAGCACAAAAUGGAGAUGUUGUUCAUGGUCACCAGACUACUGGACUUUUCCUCUUCACGGUGCGCAGGAGUAGGGUCAUGACAUUCAGACACCGCACCCGUGCUGUUCUCACAUGAUUGGUGGAGCAGAGCAGAACCCUGACUCCGGGGUUAGAGAAGAAGGCGAGCACUCUGGGCUGAGGCAUGCAUCUCAUUACUGAAGCAGAUGCCUCUGGUGGGGAAGGAGGAACAGAAGGACACAGAGGGGCUGGGAGAGGUUUGGAGAGGCAAAGGACUCACAGCCAAGAGGAAGGGAAUGGUGGGGCCCAGGGGGCAGACAAAGUCAUGUACAACAGGCCUAAGUGGCAGAGUGGCAGGGAACAAAGAAGAGCCUUCCUUCCCUCAAGCCACACAUUAAAUAUGCCCUCGGCUUGGAAUCUUAACAGAUGGUGACUAUUUCUCUCAGUAUAUUUUUAUUAAUACUUUUGCAUAAUAAUGUAUGCUUGGAUCAUACUGUACUUUUGCAUGUUUACAACUUAUUGUGGCACGAUGAACCACAGUGUGCAUAAUUUGAAAGUUAGAGGUUAUAUUUUAGCAAGCUCUCUCAUUCUUGACUGAGGUACAAAGCAGCACAUUAUGGUCAUUUUUCUCUACAGCAAACACAAUAUUCAACAUAUGAAGAGACUUCAUUUUUAAAUAUUAGUUCUCAUUCUUAAUGCAACCUAUAUAGGCCCUAGAUACAAGUCCUCAUGGACUUGGAGAGUACACUGCGGUUCUAUAAUAAUGUUCUUUCAUUAUUCCCUGGGUCUUCUGAAAGGGUGAAUAUCCCGGAAACUCCAUGUUUCUUUUUUUUAAUGAAAAACCUAGAUUGUCAUUAGGACAGCAUGGCUGCAAAGAGAGCCCUUGAUGAAAUACUCAGAAUCAUACUUCACUGUCUGAAGAGUUAUUCUGCUUCACCAAGAUCUCCUUCAUUUAUUAAGACACAACAAUGGUCUGAGCAGAGUUAUUAAAAGCCUUUACAAACUCCCCUCAUAUUUCUGAGGGGCUCUCUCUAUCAAGGUGGACUUUCUCCAUAAAACAGAACACCUGUAGUACCUCUUGAUUCAUUUUUAAUAUGUGGCCCUCGUGUACUGUCUUCACAUGUUUUCAUGUCAUUCCACCCAACUCAUUGUUUAUUAUUAUUAACCCUUAUUUUACCAGGUAAAAUGACUGAAAACAUGUUCUCAUUUACAGCAACAACCGGGGGAAUAGCUACAGGGAAGAGGAGAUGAAUGAGCCAAUUGUAAGCUGGGGAUGAUUAGGUGACCAUGAUGGUAUGAAGGCCAGAUUGGGAAUUUAGGCAGGACACCGGGGUUAACACCCCUACUCUUACGAUAAGUGCCAUGGGAUCUUUAGUGACCACAGAGAAUCAGGACACCAGUUUAACGUCCCAUCCGAAAGACAGCACCCUACUCAGGGCAAUGUCCCCAAUCACUUCCCUGGGGCAUUGGGAUAUUUGUUUAGACCAGAGGAAAGGUUGCCUCCUAUUGGCCCUCCAACACCACUUCCAGCAGCAUCUAGUCUCCCAUCCAAGACCAACCCUGUUAGCUUCAGAAGCAAGCCAGCAGUGGGAGGCAGGCUGGUUUGCUGCUUGUUUCAUGUGAAUUUGAUUUAAUUUAUUAUCUACUCAAAAACAUUGCUAAAAGGAAAGUUUACCCUUCUUUUGUAAAUGUUAUGGAAGACAGUACACCUUCACAAUAUACUGUAACUGCUGAUCAGGUCUGCCCAAUGUCCUCUUUCUUAACACCAGUGAAGGGAACCUGCCUUUAACAUGCACACUUCACUCCCCUUCAACUACAAGCUUGUUAUACCUUUGGUAGUUUCAUCAGACAAAGGAUGGACAAUCAAACAUACAAUAGCUCAGUCUUUCAAUAGUAACCCUAAUUAUUAUUAUCAUUGGAGAACGCAUCUCUCUUAGCUGUACAUACAAUAGAGAAGACAUAAUUGAGGGGUUGAAUAUACAGUGCCUUGUGAAAGUAUUCGGCCCCCUUGAACUUUGCGACCUUUUGCCACAUUUC
ensembl:lncRNA